rnacentral:lncRNA from 1 species
GGAAUGGAGCGGACGGAACUGGAAUGGAGCGGACGGAACUGGAAUGGAGCGGACGGAACUGGAAUGGAGCGACCGGAACUGGAAUGGAGCGGACGGAACUGGAAUGGAGCGAACGGAACUGGAAUGGAGUGAACGGAACAGUAUCAAACACAUGUUAAUUCCGUUGCAGCAUCACAAUGAGCCAUUAAAGUGCCAGCAGCAAACCCCUGAGUAGAACAGAGCAGGAGGAGAGUAGCAGAGAUGCUGUAUAGGUCUGUAGGUAGAGAUGCUGUAUAAGGUCUGUAGGUAGAGAUGCUGUAUAGGUCUGUAGGUAGAGAUGCUGUACAGGUCUGUAGGUAGAGAUGCUGUAUAGGUCUGUAGGUAGAGAUGAUGUAUAGGUCUGUAGGUAGAGAUGCUGUAUAGGUCUGUAGGUGGUGAUGCUGUAUAAGGUCUGUAGGUAGAGAUGCUGUAUAAGGUCUGUAGGUAGAGAUGCUGUAUAGGUCUGUAGGUAGAGAUGCUGUACAGGUCUGUAGGUAGAGAUGCUGUAUAGGUCUGUAGGUAGAGAUGAUGUAUAGGUCUGUAGGUAGAGAUGCUGUAUAGGUCUGUAG